CACCCACCACCGUACUCCUUCUCCACCCUGAACCCCAAUCGCCGUACAAGGACGUAUUUCCGGUGGUCGUCUUCGGCGGUGGAACGGUCGCAUCAAUCACUGGGUUUGAAGAGGGGUUAUCGCAUACAUGGUCAGCCUAGGGUUAGGAUGAAGAUGCAGUGAGAUGACGGCACAGCUUCUUACAGACCAACUGAAGAUUUCAAACGUCCUUAAAGAGCAGCCCUUCAUUAGCCUUUUCAGUAUCUCAGAGUUAAAAACAGGUUUUAAUGUUUUAAUUCGUUAAUGUUGCUCCCAAAAAGAGUUUGUGUUUCUUUGUUUAAUCACCGGUGGUUACAUACAUGCUAAUUUAAUUCAAAAUUGAACUAUAAUAUUCACCAAAAACAGAUUGACCAGGUGGUAGCACAUUAAUGGUG
rnacentral:lncRNA from 1 species